rnacentral:rRNA from 1 species
GAUGAACGCUGGCGGCGUGCCUAAUACAUGCAAGUCGAGCGAACAGACGAGGAGCUUGCUCCUCUGACGUUAGCGGCGGACGGGUGAGUAACACGUGGAUAACCUACCUAUAAGACUGGGAUAACUUCGGGAAACCGGAGCUAAUACCGGAAAAUAUAUUGAACCGCAUGGUUCAAUAGUGAAAGACGGUUUUGCUGUCACUUAUAGAUGGCUCCGCGCCGCAUUCGCUAGUUGGUAAGGUAACGGCUUACCAAGGCAACGAUGCGUAGCCGACCUGAGAGGGUGGUCGGCCACACUGGAACUGAGACACGGUCCAGACUCCUACGGGAGGCAGCAGUAGGGAAUCUUCCGCGAUGGGCGAAAGCCUGACGGAGCAACGCCGCGUGAGUGAUGAAGGUCUUCUGAUCGUAAAACUCUGUUAUUAGGGAAGAACAAAUGUGUAAGUAACUAUGCUCGUCUUGACGGUACCUGAUCAGAAAGCCACGGCUAACUACGUG